GCUUAAUUUUUAGGCGUUUAGCGAGAUGAGUUAGCGCACGGCUCAAUCCCUUUGAGCCAUUCCCCUAUGCUCGGGACAAUUCGGAUUGGUCCCGAGCUUUUUUUU
rnacentral:sRNA from 1 species